AUUACACAAAGAAGUGACUGCUGCCACUCCUGCUGUCCUGGUAUCAUGACAGUGGCUGAAUGUGUCAAUGUGGUUUGUAGCUGGCUUGAGCAGUGGGAUGAUCGGAGCUUGGGGAGAUUGUGUAAAGUCCACCACUUCACUGCUGGGACAUGCAUGAACCUGGAAACCAUCAUUCUCAGCAAACUGACACGAGAACAGAAAAUGAAACACCGCAUGCUCUCACUCAUAGGUGGAUCCCAACCCAGUGUGACUGGUGUCCCUGUAUGAAGAGGAGAUCAGGACACAGAGGAAGCCAUGUGCAGUCACGGAAGGGAAUGGCCAUCUGCAAACCAAAGAGGGUCCUCAGAAGGAGCCAGCACUGCUGACACCUUGAUCUUGGACCUCCAGCCUCCAGAACUGUGAGAAAAUAAAGUUCUGUUAUUUAAACCUGCCAGUCUAUGGUACUUGUUACAACAGCCCUAGCAAACCUAUGCACCAUUCAAAUUAAUUUUUAUAUCUGUUGUGAGGUAAGAUCCAGUACUUUAAAAACAUAUUAAUCAAUUGUUCUAGUACCAUUCUUCACACAGGGAUCUGCAGUGUCUUCUAUAUACAUAAAGUCUUUCAAAUACUUUGGGGGUUCAUUCCCUCAAUGGAGAGAACUCAUCACUUGAGAAAGUCACUGAAGAAGAUGAGAUUGCUAACCAUGCUAUUUAUUUGCCUUCAUUAGAAAUUCUCUGCAGCCCAUAAUCCAAAUAGUCUCCAUGUCUAGAUGCCUGAAAUUUAUUUUUCAGUUCUUGUCUUAACUUCCUAAAGUUAGGAAGUUAGGUUCCUAACUAUAGGAACUGAAGUUUUGUCAAAAGCCAGUUACCCCGUCCCUGCUCACACACAGGCAGCAGUGGUAACAGGAUGAAUACCUGCCCCAAGAGAGUACAAAGAAAAGCAGAGAAUGUUUGCUUUCCAUACCUGGUCUGGCUCCAAAAAGCCAUCACAGAAAUUCUGACAUAAAGCCCAUCCAAGUUCAUUCAGUUCUAAACAUUUAAACAUUUGUAUUCUAAUUUCCUUUUUAAUGCAUUGAGUAUUUUGACUGUAGUUCCCAAAAAUGUGGCUUUUAAAUCUCUUUGAUGCUGAUUUCUAAUUUGCCCUUUGUGUAUGGAAAAUGCCUUUUCUAAAAUGUCAAUUAUUCAGAAAUUUCUAAGACUGAUUUGGAGCCCAACAUAUAGUCAAGCUUGAAAAAUUUUUUAUGAAUAGGGCAGCUGCAUGAGUUGAUUGCUGAGGUAGAUAUGAGAUAACAACACUUAGGUAAAAAAAUUUAAAUAUUGUUUAAAGCUAAGCAUGUUGUAGACAUGUUUUCAUGCCAUUAAUCUGAUCUUUGUGCUUUAGUGACGGUUUUACAUGUAUACUGACCCUAAAAUGCAUGCCCUCUGCUACCAGGCAGAAGGGCCCACUGAAAUCUGAAUCUAAGCAUGUCUCCCUGUUCUGCCCGUUGAGAUGCGUGACCCCUCUCCUCGGUGAAUCCCGUCUCCACCAUAAUGCCUGGAGCAGCACUCUCAGUAUUGUGGCACUUACGUAUCGCAUCAUGUCUUGGAUUUCUUUCUACUGGGGCUCCCCAGGGAAACAGAACCAAUAAAAUGUAUGUAGAGAAAGACUUUUAUUAUAAGGAAUUGGUUCAAAUCGUUACGAAAGCUGAGAAGUCCCAGGUUCUGCAGUCAGCAAGCUGGGGACCCAGGAGAGCUGAUGGUCUAGAUUGCCAGCCGGAUUUGGAAUUAGAGGCAGGAGAAGGCCAAUGUCCAAGCUCAAAGACACGUGGAGAGAGUGAGCUCUCCCUUACCCUGCCUUUUGUUUAUUUAAGCCCCCAGCAGAUGGGAUGGGGUGGACGAACUGUAGGUGGAGCAACCUGCUUUACUCAUUCUACAGAUUCAAAUGUUAGUCUUGUCCAGAAAUCCCUCAUCUACACAGAAUAAUGAGUAACGAAAGAGCUGGGCACCCCAGGCCCAGCCAAGUUGACAAAUAAAUUAACCAUCACAUUAUCUUUGUACAGUUAUAAUCUGCCUAGGCUGAAAGUGCCUGAGGGUAGGAAACACAUCCCAUUGAUCUUUACAUCUUGAGUCAAGCAUGCAACUCCACGAGGCAACAGACACAUAUUUUUGAACAAGUAGUAGAUCAUUUGUAUACCUCUAGUUCUAUGUUUCAAAAAGUAAGGCGAUGUUUAGAAACAUCUCUACUUCUUCUGCUUCCAGAGAUCCUGAGAUCCAUGUAGGGCCAAAGAUGCAGGUCUCUCCUAUGCAGGGUGGGGUUUCUUAAAGUUGUC